rnacentral:rRNA from 1 species
UACAGAGGUCCCGAGCGUUGUUCGGAUUCACUGGGCGUAAAGGGUGCGUAGGUGGCUGGGUAAGUCGGAUGUGAAAUCUCGGAGCUCGACUCCGAAACGGCAUUGGAAACUGCCCGGCUCGAGGGUUGGAGGGGGGACUGGAAUUCUCGGUGUAGCAGUGAAAUGCGUAGAUAUCGAGAGGAACACCAGUGGCGAAGGCGAGUCCCUGGACAACACCUGACACUGAGGCACGAAAGCUAGGGGAGCAAACAGG